CAGCCGCCGCGGUAAUACGUAGGGUGCAAGCGUUAAUCGGAAUUACUGGGCGUAAAGCGUGCGCAGGCGGUUAUAUAAGACAGAUGUGAAAUCCCCGGGCUCAACCUGGGAACUGCAUUUGUGACUGUAUAGCUAGAGUACGGCAGAGGGGGAUGGAAUUCCGCGUGUAGCAGUGAAAUGCGUAGAUAUGCGGAGGAACACCGAUGGCGAAGGCAAUCCCCUGGGCCUGUACUGACGCUCAUGCACGAAAGCGUGGGGAGCAAACAGGAUUAGAUACCCCCGUAGUCCCUGUCUCUUAUAA
rnacentral:rRNA from 1 species